rnacentral:rRNA from 1 species
ACGGAAGGCAGCAGUGGGGAAUAUUGCACAAUGGGGGAAACCCUGAUGCAGCAACGCCGCGUGAAGGAAGACGGUCUUCGGAUUGUAAACUUCUGUUCUUAGUGAAGAUAAUGACGGUAGCUAAGGAGCAAGCCACGGCUAACUACGUGCCAGCAGCCGCGGUAAUACGUAGGUUGCAAGCGUUGUCCGGAUUUACUGGGUGUAAAGGGCGUGUAGGCGGAGCUGCAAGUCAGAUGUGAAAUCCCGGGGCUUAACCCCGGAACUGCAUUUGAAACUGUAGCCCUUGAGUAUCGGAGAGGCAAGCGGAAUUCCUAGUGUAGCGGUGAAAUGCGUAGAUAUUAGGAGGAACACCAGUGGCGAAGGCGGCUUGCUGGACGACAACUGACGCUGAGGCGCGAAAGCGUGGGGAGCAAACAGGAUUAGAUACCCUGGUA